AAGAACCAAGAGACACCAAAUCAUUGAUGGAAAGGAGUGAGGCAUGGACAAGUCACAGGAGCAGAUGGAAAACGACUAGUGAUCUUGAAAGUGGCACCCACAGAAGAAAGAGAUGGGGUAGACCAAAACCAAGCUGUCACCCACACCUCAAUUUCCCCGGCAGGAUUGGGAUACACCAACCAAAGUCCAGGCAAAAUGAUGCCUAAGCCAGAGAAACAACGCCAUGAUGACGAGAGCCAAGUGUUCAUCUGCUACCAGUUCAUCAUGGAAUUUCUGUUGAGGGUCAUGAAAAACACUU